GCACAAGCGGUGGAGUAUGUUGUUUAAUUCGAGGAUACACGAAGAACCUUACCAGGUCUUGACAUACCAUUGACCCGUUUCUAGAGAUAGUAAUUUUCCCGUUUCGGGGACAAUGGAUACAGGUGGUGCAUGGUUGUCGUCAGCUCGUGCCGUGAGGUGUUGGGUUAAGUCCCGCAACGAGCGCAACCCUUAAUCUUAGUUGCCAGCAUUAAGUUGGGCACUCUAAGGUGACUGCCGGUGAUAAACCGGAGGAAGGUGGGGAUGACGUCAAAUCAUCAUGCCCCUUAUGUCUUGGGCUACACACGUGCUACAAUGGCUGGUACAGAGGGUAGCAAAACCGUAAGGUCAAGCCAAUCCCAAAAAGCCAGUCUCAGUUCGGAUUGUAGGCUGCAACUCGCCUACAUGAAGUCGGAAUUGCUAGUAAUCGCGGAUCACGCAUGCCGACGGUGAAUACGUUCCCGGGCCUU
rnacentral:rRNA from 1 species